rnacentral:snRNA from 1 species
AGCUUUGUGCAGUGGCAAUAUCGUAGCCAGUGAGAUGUGUCUGAGGCGCAAUUAUUGCUAAUUGAAAAUACUUA